ACUGGGGUUUCAUUACUUCACUCAGAGUUUCAGUAGACGUAAACUGUGUUUGAUUUGUGUUUUGAUUUCCAGGAAAUGAAAGUAAAUGAUUUUACUGACAAAUGCAUCUUUUCAAUGAUUUAGACACAAACGAGGCCCACACUUCAGCAGACAAAUCUUUUUCCGUUUAUCUGCCCGGUGUUGUGAUCAUCUUUAUAACUGGAGUUAUCGUGGGAUUUAUCUACUGGAGGAAAAGUAAUGGGUCAGGAACAUCUGGAGUGUCUGUACCUGAAAAUCCCAACGGUUUGGAUGACGAUGAGCCAGAUCAGCCCUAUACAAACCUUCAGCAGCCAUCGAGUGAUUCCUACCAGACUAUCAUCUCAGUGAACCAUCAACACGACAACAAGACACGCUCAGCAAGAAGCACAGGAACUGUGGGAGUGGAUAAUAAAGCUCUAUGAAACAUUUUAAAGUAUAUAAAACUUUAGGUGACAUACUAAUAUAAUAAUAUUCAUAUAUUAUAAUAAACGUCCAUCUUUUCACACUGGAUAGUUGUUUCCCAGUAAUGGAGACCAUUCAGUCAUAAUACUCCAACUCAGGCUCUCAGAUUUAAUACAAUACAAACACAAUAAACUGUGGCAAACAUGACUCU